AAGUCGUAACAAGGUUUUCGUAGGUGAACCUGCGGAAGGUCAUUAACACGUAUCCACGUUAAAUCCCCCGUGCACCUUCAUUCACAGGUACGUCGAUCCGCUUAACUGUGGCUCCGGCCUGUUCCACACUCAGGCAAUCACAGGUGACAGGGAGAAACUGUCAAUUUGUUCUCUUGGUGCUGGCUCUGUUGAGCAAAAAAAACAAACCCCGAACAACUGUUAACAAUGGAUAUCUUGGUUCUC
rnacentral:misc_RNA from 1 species